UAGGGAAUAUUGCAAAAUGGGCGAAAGCCCGAUGCAGCAACGCCGCGUGGGCGAUGAAGGCCUUCGGGUCGUAAAGCCCUUUUUGAGGGGAUGAGGAAGGACAGUACCCUCAGAAUAAGCCUCGGCUAACUACGUGCCAGCAGCCGCGGUAAAACGUAGGAGGCGAGCGUUAUCCGGAUUUUACUGGGCGUAAAGCGCGUGCAGGCGGAUUGGAGAGUUGGAUGUGAAAGCUCCCGACUUAACUGGGAGAGGUCGUUCAAUACUUCCAGUCUUGAGUGCAGUAGAGGGAAGUGGAAUUCCGGGUGUAGUGGUGAAAUGCGUAGAUAUCCGGAGGAACACCAGUGGCGAAAGCGGCUUCCUGGACUGUAACUGACGCUCAGACGCGAAAGCUAGGGUAGCAAACG
rnacentral:rRNA from 1 species